rnacentral:rRNA from 1 species
GUGAGGAAUAUUGGUCAAUGGGCGGAAGCCUGAACCAGCCAAGUAGCGUGCAGGAUGACGGCCCUAUGGGUUGUAAACUGCUUUUAUACGGGGAUAAAGUCAGCCACGUGUGGUUGAUUGCAGGUACCGUAUGAAUAAGGACCGGCUAAUUCCGUGCCAGCAGCCGCGGUAAUACGGAAGGUCCGGGCGUUAUCCGGAUUUAUUGGGUUUAAAGGGAGCGCAGGCCGGAAGCAAAGCGUGCCGUGAAAUGUAGAUGCUCAACAUCUGAAUUGCGGCGCGAACUGGUUUUCUUGAGUGCAUACGAGGUAGGCGGAAUUUGUGGUGUAGCGGUGAAAUGCUUAGAUAUCACGAAGAACUCCGAUUGCGAAGGCAGCCUACCAGGAUGUAACUGACGCUAAAGCUCGAAAGUGCGGGUAUCGAACAGGAUUAGAUACCCUAGUAGUCC